rnacentral:rRNA from 1 species
UACGUAGGGGGCAAGCGUUGUCCGGAUUUAUUGGGCGUAAAGAGCGUGUAGGCGGCCAGGUAGGUCUGCUGUGAAAACUCGAGGCUCAACCUCGAGACGUCGGCGGAAACCAUCUGGCUAGAGUCCGGAAGAGGAGAGUGGAAUUCCUGGUGUAGCGGUGAAAUGCGCAGAUAUCAGGAAGAACACCAAUUGCGAAGGCAGCUCGCUGGGACGUAACUGACGCUGAGACGCGAAAGCGUGGGGAGCAAACAGG